GACCUUGUGGCCUAAUGGAUAAGGCGUUGGCCUCCGGAGCCAAAGAUUGUGGGUUCGAGUCCCAUCAAGGUCG
rnacentral:tRNA from 1 species